rnacentral:misc_RNA from 1 species
UUUAUUCUUAUUCUGCAGGUUUGGAUCUUGGAAACUCUACUAUGUAACACCCUUCUACUAAAACCAUGGAAAUAUUUGAUCGAAUUUGAGUUGGCAAGGAUAAGGGCUUGAGGAGACUAGCUAGAUGAAGAUUAGAAGUUUUGUGCUGUUGACAAAUUGCACAAUACUCCACAAAUUUCCGAAUAGUUGCCUUGAUGCCCUUCCAAUAGAAAUCACUUAGAACACGUUGAAGCAUCUUUUGGACACCUUCUAAUUUAAGCUAAUAUUUGCAUGGUUCUGCAAUUUUGCAAUCCAGUAAUGGCAUGUAUGGAAAUUGCUGGUUCCCCUAUGUUCGCGUUUUUGGAGUCUUUAAUUGGUUCUUCUGAUUCAUCCAUCUCCAACCAAAAUAGUUUCUUGCAUUGGUGUCCAAAGGAGUAUAAUUAGUCUCAGUUAUAACAAAGUCCCUUUGUCCUCUGUUCAACCACCUUUGCUGGGUUAGCCGUUUAACAAAAGGCAUGUUCACACUACUUGUACUGGAGGCUGUCCUUUUCUGUGCUUUGUACCCUGACGAUGUUGGCGGCCAUGCAGUAAGUUUAAAAUUGGCAGAAGUAGCUCGCUGAACAUUCCCCAUUCUUCCAAGCUAAUGUUUCCUUUUGGAUGCCCAAGCUGAAUUCAUCACCGUUGCUAGAUUUGGGGGUUUUUUUAUCUCCACAUCUAACCUGAUGCUUUUGGUUAAACCUGUUGUAAAAAGGUCCAUCUGUUGAUCAACCCAAGCCAUGGUGGCACGGGCUAACAAGCUCUGAAAUUGUCGUUGAUACUCCUCAAUUGUCCUAGUUUGAUUCAGAUUGACCAAUUCACCCAAAGGAUUUCCUCGAAGUUGCGGCCCAAAACGCAAGUUACAGUAGCCCUUGAAUGUAUUCCAAGUCAGCCCUGGCUCUUCAUGUUCCGAUUGAUAAAACCACAAUUGCCUCUCCAAUCGUACAGAAUGCUGCCAGGCUCACCUUGUUCGUUUCUAGUGUUUUCUGAUUAAGAAAAAGUUGUUCACAUCUAUGGAGCCAUCCUAACGGAUCCUCAGAACCAUCAAAAGUGGGAAAAUCCAGUUUGGCAUAGCGUGGAACUAUUCUAGCUGUUGCUCUUUUUUCCUCCAACCUACCACCUGGGUUAAAUUAAUGACUGCUGCUGGUGCCAUCCGAUUGUUUCCCCCGACUCCCAUUGGCGUUACCGAAAAUUUCUUGCAGUUCCGA